rnacentral:tRNA from 1 species
GGUCCUGUGGUGAAUAUCAUAUCAGGUUGCAAAUCUGAAGUAAUACUUUAAAUUAGUAUCAGGGUCU